AACGGACGCUGGCGGCAUGCCUAACACAUGCAAGUCGAACGAGACCUUCGGGUCUAGUGGCGCACGGGUGCGUAACGCGUGGGAACCUGCCCUUAGGUUCGGAAUAACUCCCCGAAAGGGGUGCUAAUACCGGAUAAUGUCUUCGGACCAAAGAUUUAUCGCCUUUGGAUGGGCCCGCGUUGGAUUAGCUAGUUGGUAGGGUAAAAGCCUACCAAGGCGACGAUCCAUAGCUGGUCUGAGAGGAUGAUCAGCCACACUGGGACUGAGACACGGCCCAGACUCCUACGGGAGGCAGCAGUGGGGAAUAUUGGACAAUGGGCGAAAGCCUGAUCCAGCAAUGCCGCGUGAGUGAUGAAGGCCUUAGGGUUGUAAAGCUCUUUUACCCGGGAUGAUAAUGACAGUACCGGGAGAAUAAGCUCCGGCUAACUCCGUG
rnacentral:rRNA from 1 species